UACGUAGGGUGCGAGCGUUAAUCGGAAUUACUGGGCGCAAAGCGUGCGCAGGCGGUGAUGUAAGACAGUUGUGAAAUCCCCGGGCUCAACCUGGGAACUGCAUCUGUGACUGCAUCGCUGGAGUGCGGCAGAGGGGGAUGGAAUUCCGCGUGUAGCAGUGAAAUGCGUAGAUAUGCGGAGGAACACCGAUGGCGAAGGCAAUCCCCUGGGCCUGCACUGACGCUCAUGCACGAAAGCGUGGGGAGCAAACAGG
rnacentral:rRNA from 1 species